AACUUCAAAUCCUAAAUCCCACCCCCCGCCAACAUUUGCAGAAUAGAUGGUUCCUUAGUUUUAUCCAGUAUUUAGCAAAACCUUUAAUUUCCCCAAGAACAAAACAGGAAAUGGGCCUGGGUGUGACCUUGCUCUCUAAGGUCACAGCUAUUGUUGCACUUCUGUACAUUUUGGAAGUGUUUUAAAAUAAUGUGCCUCCAUUAUAGCUCUGGUACAAAAACAGGAAACUAUUAACCAACGCCUCUUAAGAGGAAGGAUAUUAGCAGAACAUAUUUAAAAAUUAAUAUCUAUUUCUUAUGCAGAUUUAUGUAGAAAAUAUUUUAAGGAAGAGCAGGAAGAAGGUCCCACAACAUCCAGCCCUUCAUUGCACUGCUUCCCGCUAACACAACUCCAGCAUGUACCGUGUAUUGGUACAUUUUUACCAACACACUACCCCACUAGAGUUUGGAACAGAUUCACAGAGACUCUGUGCUGAGAAAAUAUUUUGAAUGGAGAACUAUUCUCAAGCAAGUGCGGGGUUGGCAUGCACACACGGCUAGCCAAGCAGCUAUUUAACCAUGUAUGCAUGAGCAUGCACUAUAGUACGAGUGCAAAGUAAACGUGCAAACAGGUUUCCUAUAAUUUUAUACCCUUCUAUGGACAGCUGGGCAAGAGGAAAAAAAGAUAUGCAUGCUACCAGCUACUCGAUAAAAAACUAUUUGUUCUAUCCUCUGAGGAUCCUGAAUCUUCCACCUCUUUGUGGGAUGAGAAAGAAGAAAGUGUCCCGUGGCUCCUACAUUUUACCAUGAUGGGCCUACUUGCCCACUGAAAAUAUAGAAGUAGAACGUGACCAUCAGGAGUUGCUCCUGCUUCCUCAACCUCAUUUAAGAAGCAUGUUAAAACUAACCUCAAUUUUUAUUUGUAAAGGAUCGUAUUAAAUGGAAAUGUAAACUUAAAA